rnacentral:rRNA from 1 species
ACGGGUGAGUAACGCGUGGGAACGUACCUUUUGGUUCGGAACAACACAGGGAAACUUGUGCUAAUACCGGAUAAGCCCUUACGGGGAAAGAUUUAUCGCCGAAAGAUCGGCCCGCGUCUGAUUAGCUUGUUGGUGAGGUAACGGCUCACCAAGGCGACGAUCAGUAGCUGGUCUGAGAGGAUGAUCAGCCACAUUGGGACUGAGACACGGCCCAAACUCCUACGGGAGGCAGCAGUGGGGAAUAUUGGACAAUGGGCGCAAGCCUGAUCCAGCCAUGCCGCGUGAGUGAUGAAGGCCCUAGGGUUGUAAAGCUCUUUUGUGCGGGAAGAUAAUGACUGUACCGCAAGAAUAAGCCCCGGCUAACUUCGUGCCAGCAGCCGCGGUAAUACGAAGGGGGCUAGCGUUGCUCGGAAUCACUGGGCGUAAAGGGUGCGUAGGUGGAUUUUUAAGUCAGGGGUGAAAUCCUGGAGCUCAACUCCAGAACUGCCUUUGAUACUGGGAAUCUUGAGUUCGGGAGAGGUGAGUGGAACUGCGAGUGUAGAGGUGAAAUUCGUAGA